CCAGUGUCCACGUGCUGUUCUGUUCACGGAAGUGAGGUAGUUUUUCUAUGUACAUUGAAGCUGACACAGGAGGCAGCGUUAUGUCGGUAGAAAGUACAGUUUUACAAGAUCACCCUUCGGGGGAAUAUUUCUGGGGAUGUGAAUUGAGUAAAGAACGACAAUCUGUAACGUGGUCAAUUCAAGAGGAAGAUGAAGAUACAGAUUUUAUGCAGCAUACUUUAUUCAUCAAACAUGCUGUACUUGGCGCACAAGCCGUGAAAGACGAAGUAAAUAUUGUUCAAGUUCAAACUAAAAACUACGAUAAUGAAGAAAUAAAACAACCCUUUAUAUCAUUAACUAGAGGAGAAAGCAGUAUGUGUUAUUUAGAUGUUUCUUUUACUGAUAAAUUUCCAGUUACGUUUACAUUAGUAGACGGAUCUGGUCCUAUCUAUAUAUCAGCUGUCCAGUUAGUAGAAUUUCCUGAUGAAGGUAAUCAAACCAUGGAUGAGGAAGGUUUCACGGAGGAAGAAGACGAAGAAACGCCGGAGAAACCCAUAUUGAAGGCCAAAAGAAAAGGAGGGGCUCAGUCUGGAGCUAGUAAAGCUAAGCAGAGAAGUAAGAUGGAAGCGAGUGCCGAUGGAGCUUCAGAUGAAGACAGUGAGGAGGACGACGAUGACGAGGAGGAGGAAGAUGAUGACGACGAGGAAGAAAUGGAUGACGACGAUGAAGAUGAUCCAACUCCAGAAAAGAAAAAACCUAAGAAAAAGAACGUAAAAUCCAAAGCUGCAGCAAAAAAGACUGAAAAACCAAAGGCCAAGAAAACAUUAACUAAAAAGGCGAAGAAGUGACCCUACUUGAGUCUGACGUUUUUAUUUAUUUUCCACGUGAUUUCCUUUUUAAUCAUUCAAGAAACUGAAAACCUAUUAAGAUUAGUGAUUGUUAAAUACGUGAAAUUUGAUGUUAAACUUUGAAAUAUUGCAGUAAAAAGUGCUCUACUUCUUU